CCUUAGAAGUAGAAAGUAGAGGUCGCCACGAGUUCGCAGCAUUUUUCGGUAAAUUUUUCGAGUUCCCGAGCUAUUUUUAAGGAAAUUUUGAAGUUUUGUUGGAAAUUAAAUUAUCUGGCGACGUGGCGUGUCCUUAUUGGUUGAUAGGCUUAACUUGGAGACCAAGUAGCAGCUGCCAAACGUGUCUUGCAUGUGCAAGAUAAGUUUGACACAUGUCAAGUGGUGGCACUAUGUUUGUUAUAUGCUUGACAAAUGGCAUAAGCAUGAUGAUGGAUGGUUUUGGUUUGGACAAGUGGCCUAUUUCUAUUGGUGUUCUUUCCCUAUAAAUAGAACCCAACCAGAUCAUUAUUUCCCCACAAUUUUCGGAGCUUUCUCUCUCCUACAUUUCUCUCUUCCAUUUUCUCUCUCUAGGAUUUGUUUUUGGCAUAACUUUUGAUCCGUAAGUCCGAUUUAGGAUCCGUUUUCGCCUACGGAUUCGUCUUGACGAGCUCUUUCUAUUGGUGGAAAGAAAAUUCAGAUUUGGUGAAACUAUUUUUUGACGACCUAGGAGGCUUGAUUUUAUUUUGUAUCAUCCACGAUUGUCGAAAAUAAGGUAGGGGGAUCUCGGGGAAACUUUUUAUGAUUGGAUGUUGAUUUUAUGUGCUUCGUGUAUAUGUUAUUCUUAUUAAUAUUAUUUUUAAAUGAUUUAUUUGAUAAUAUUUGAAUUACAUGUACUAAAUGUACGUUGAUCGAUGUAAGUGCAUGUUUUCAUGGAGGUUGUUGUUUAUCAAGUGUAAAGGAGUUGGGGGAAAAUUAUGGUUAUUUGGUGAUUGUGGGAAUUAUCUUUUGUGUAGUUGAGUUUGAACAUUGUAGGGAUCAAGCUCAGGCGAGCCCGUGUGCACAAUUAGGUUUAGAAUAUCGGCGGUAUAAUUGUCGAUAUAUUUGGGUGAUUUGGGCUUGGAGAUCAAUGUUUCAGACAAGAUGACUGGCAAAAGGGGUUUUGGGGGAUUUGAUUGAGUCAGGGGAUUAAUUUAUAUGUUUGGAUAUUCAAGUCACAGUUGCAAAACUGUAAAGUACACGGUAUGGGACGUGUAGGCUUGCGUAUUCUGAUAUAUGAAUUAACGGGUAUAUAAAUGGAGUUGGAUUGCAUCAUUGUUUGAUAUGCAUGUUAUAAUUGAAAUAUAUGAUGGUAUUAUCUUUGGUCAAUUAUCCAUGAGGAAGUUUUAUGUCCCUACUGAGCCGCUGGUUGAGCUCACCCCUUAACAGAUUUUGCAGGUAUGGAAUCAAGAUACUAGAGCAAGAAGUUCCGAUAUGUAUAUAAUGUCAAAUGGGUUGUGAAAUUUGUGUUUUCUUUAUGUUUGUUUGGAAUAAAGAAUGAGUACUAGUGUACUAUGUGAUAAAGACAAUGUAAUAUAUGUUUCCGCUGGAAUUUUGAGGUCUUGUUAUUUAGUUGUUAGUCCACGAUUUAUUUAUUUAUUGUCACAUUUUGAUUAUAGAAAUUUUAGUUCUAUAAUUAAGAUGUGAUUCACACCUUAACUCGAGAUUAUAAGAAUAGCUCGAGUCAGGGCGUGACAAGAUGGUAUCAGAGCUAACCAGAGAUUAGAAACCCAGGAUCUGUGGUAGGUUAAAUUGUAGUGACAUAGCCUAGAGCCAUAAGUGUUUUGGGUAUUUUGAAGUGGAGUGAAUUUCGGGACGAAAUUCUUUUAAGGAGGUUGGAUUGUGAGAUCCCGAAUUUUGAAAUUGGUCAAAUUUUAUUUUUUACCUUAGAAGUAGAAAGUAGAGGUCGCCACGAGUUCGCAGCAUUUUUCGGUAAAUUUUUCGAGUUCCCGAGCUAUUUUUAAGGAAAUUUUGAAGUUUUGUUGGAAAUUAAAUUAUCUGGCGACGUGGCGUGUCCUUAUUGGUUGAUAGGCUUAACUUGGAGACCAAGUAGCAGCUGCCAAACGUGUCUUGCAUGUGCAAGAUAAGUUUGACACAUGUCAAGUGGUGGCACUAUGUUUGUUAUAUGCUUGACAAAUGGCAUAAGCAUGAUGAUGGAUGGUUUUGGUUUGGACAAGUGGCCUAUUUCUAUUGGUGUUCUUUCCCUAUAAAUAGAACCCAACCAGAUCAUUAUUUCCCCACAAUUUUCGGAGCUUUCUCUCUCCUACAUUUCUCUCUUCCAUUUUCUCUCUCUAGGAUUUGUUUUUGGCAUAACUUUUGAUCCGUAAGUCCGAUUUAGGAUCCGUUUUCGCCUACGGAUUCGUCUUGACGAGCUCUUUCUAUUGGUGGAAAGAAAAUUCAGAUUUGGUGAAACUAUUUUUUGACGACCUAGGAGGCUUGAUUUUAUUUUGUAUCAUCCACGAUUGUCGAAAAUAAGAUUUUGCAGGUAUGGAAUCAAGAUACUAGAGCAAGAAGUUCCGAUAUGUAUAUAAUGUCAAAUGGGUUGUGAAAUUUGUGUUUUCUUUAUGUUUGUUUGGAAUAAAGAAUGAGUACUAGUGUACUAUGUGAUAAAGACAAUGUAAUAUAUGUUUCCGCUGGAAUUUUGAG